rnacentral:lncRNA from 1 species
GGGGAUGGGACUUGGAUUCUGGUUCCAGCAUUGUCUAAUCAGUCCAAUGUCCUCAACCAAGACGUUCUACUUCUGGAAUGUUCUUAUUUGACAAACAUGGCUGGCAAUGCCAUCCUUCACAGCCCUGACGUCAAGGAGCAGCCAAAGAAAUGCUAAGGCCCUAUGUUUACAGGCCUAAUACUCCUGGAUCCGGAGCUCAAAACUGUGAAGGCCGACUAGAGCAAAGCAAACAGCAGCGGAAGUAGGGCUGAUGGUUUUAUCUCAGUGGUAGAGUUUUCAGGAAGUAAGUAAAGAACAUUAACAAGGAGUUGCUGCACUUAGAACACCUACAAUAGUGGAUCCAACUGAGAAGCAACUGGUGACAUCAUGCCCUACUCCCUUGACAAUAGACACACAGCAGUACCUGGUUCCAAAAUAAGACAAUAAAAGCUCCUGGUGUGUUGUGGGAAAU